rnacentral:rRNA from 2 species
AUCAACUUUCGAUGGUAGGAUAGAGGCCUACCAUGGUGGUAACGGGUAACGGGGUGUUAGGGCACGACACCGGAGAGGGAGCCUGAGAAACGGCUACCACAUCCAAGGAUGGCAGCAGGCGCGCAAAUUACCCAAUCCCGACACGGGGAGGUAGUGACAAUAAAUAACAAUACGGGGUUCUUUCGGAUCUCGUAAUUGGAAUGAGUACAAUUUAAAUCUCUUAACGAGGAACAAUUGGAGGGCAAGUCUGGUGCCAGCAGCCGCGGUAAUUCCAGCUCCAAUAGCGUAUAUUAAAGUUGUUGCAGUUAAAAAGCUCGUAGUUGAAUUUCGGGGUUAGUAGAUUGGUCAUGCCUCUGGUAUGCACUGGUCUCACUGAUUCCUCCUUCCUGAUGAGCCGUAAUGCCAUUAAUUUGGUGUUGCGGGGAAUUUGGACUGUUACUUUGAAAAAAUUAGAGUGUUUAAAGCAAGCUAACGCUUGAAUACAUUAGCAUGGAAUAAUGAAAUAGGACGUUCGAUCCUAUUUUGUUGGUUUCUAGGAUUGACGUAAUGAUUAAUAGGGAUAGUUGGGGGCAUUAGUAUUCAAUUGUCAGAGGUGAAAUUCUUGGAUUUAUUGAAGACUAACUACUGCGAAAGCAUUUGCCAAGGAUGUUUUCAUUAAUCAAGAACGAAAGUUAGGGGAUCGAAGACGAUCAGAUACCGUCGUAGUCUUAACCAUAAACUAUGCCGACUAGGGAUCGGAUGAUGUUAAUUUUUUAAUGACUCAUUCGGCGCCUUACGGGAAACCAAAGUGUUUGGGUUC